UUGGACAGUCCUGUGUUUUAAAGCUCCCAGGAUGACUCCAAUGGUCAGCCAGGAUUGAGAGCCACCAAGUAGAAGAAACACUCCAGGUGGAAUGCAGCUUAAUCCCUCACGGCCAAAGGGGAAGAAUUCAGAGACUGUGCAGAAUCGGAGGAAACCACGCGUGUGUCAAGCUGCCAUUCUGGAAUUGUAAAAACUCACGGUGAGAGCGACGGAGCCCAGCAGCAAUGCCACAGAGUAGACCAGACCCCGACUGUUGAUCUUCACCUGGAAAAACAAAGACACAUGCCCUGAACCUCUGGGCUGCUCAGGGGCCCAUCUGUUCCGGGAGCCCGCUGAGCUUGGCUUAUCCUUUCCCUCCUCUGGAAGCCACAGGGGAAGUUUGUGCACAGGCCUGCACACAGGGAGAACUGCAUCCGAACAUGAAGACCACCACCUACGAGUCAAGGAGAGAGGCCUGGAGCAGACAGAAAGAACCAAACUUUCCAACACCUUGACCUCUAGCCUCCAGGACUGUGGGACCGUCAGUUUCUGUCUUCCUGUCUCCCAGUGUGUGCUCAAAUUCAACAGACUGUCAUAAUCUGGCCACAAAUAUCGUGGAAAGAAGCAGCCUGAAAUGCAUGUGCCUAUAACCAUAAGCCAUCUUGGUUACUGAGCAGCUGGCAGAGACUCAGACCAGCAACCAGACGAUUGCCUCACCUCUGUUCGACCACCUGCCCCCGGGUGUUAGCCAGGCUACCUCCUCCCGCCCUGUUGCUGUCAUCCACUGACCUCCAGGGCACAGUGUCUCCCUGAGGGCUCACAGAUCCCUCCCGGGCCUGGGCACCUAUCUGAGUGCCUUCGAAAUCCUGGCAGCUUAGUCCUACUGGGGGCCGUAUCUCUGGGAAACCUGCCUUUCAGUCUCCCAGGACCUUGUGAAACAGGAACGUGCAGCUCCUGUUUUGGGCCAGCUAGUCAUCCCUGGUGGGGAGGCAGGCACUAGCCAGAUGGGUCAGGAGGAACCAAAUGCCCGCCCGGGUCUGGGAAAGAAGAGCGAGUGUGUUCUCAGGUUGGACUGCCGGGCUCUGGGUGGGUGAAGCCCCCUAAGGAACCUUAGAACAGCAAUUCUCAGACUUUGAGAGCACAUGACUCAAAUUUCCAUUCCCACCAACCACAGUCCAAGAGAGGUUCCCUUUUCUCCACACCC